CCAUAACAUGUUAAAACACUGGUUCUCAUAUGAUCACCAAAGUUAAGCUACAUUGAGCCUGGUCAGUACCUAGGUGGGUGACCACUUGGGAAUACCACAUGCU